GUUUUGGCAUGGAGAAAGGGUAGCGUUUGUUUAGCUCCCACAACUUUACCUCAAGUGUGUCUGAAGCACAAGGCUUCAUCAAGUUUUACUCUAAGCUGAAAGUUGAAGUCAACAUUUUCCUCUUGGUCUAUAACCCGGCAAAGUGUUCUACGGUGUACAAUAAAGAAACACAUCAGUA